rfam:Triticum aestivum genome assembly, contig: Triticum_aestivum_CS42_TGACv1_scaffold_513457_6BS
AAAACUAGCCAGCCUUUUGGGUAUGAAACCCAUUUGGGCUAGAGUAGUACUAGGAUGGGUGACCUCCUGGGAAGUCCUCGUGAAAGGGUUUC